rnacentral:rRNA from 1 species
UACGAAGGGGGCGAGCGUUAUUCGGAAUUACUGGGCGUAAAGGACGCGUAGGCGGUCUAUUAAGUCAGCUGUUAAAUUCCAGGGCCUAACCCUGGGUAUGCAGAUGAUACUGAUUGGACUAGAGUAUGGAAGAGAGGGGUGGAAUUCUCGGAGUAGCGGUAAAAUGCGUAGAUCUCGAGAGGAACACCGAUGGCGAAGGCAGCCCCUUGGUCCAAUACUGACGCUGAGGCGUGAAAGCGUGGGGAGCAAACAGG